rnacentral:rRNA from 1 species
UGGGGAAUAUUGCACAAUGGGCGAAAGCCUGAUGCAGCAACGCCGCGUGAGGGACGACGGCCUUCGGGUUGUAAACCUCUUUUAGUAGGGAAGAAGCGAAAGUGACGGUACCUGCAGAAAAAGCACCGGCUAACUACGUGCCAGCAGCCGCGGUAAUACGUAGGGUGCAAGCGUUGUCCGGAAUUAUUGGGCGUAAAGAGCUCGUAGGCGGUUUGUCGCGUCUGCUGUGAAAACUGGAGGCUCAACCUCCAGCCUGCAGUGGGUACGGGCAGACUAGAGUGCGGUAGGGGAGAUUGGAAUUCCUGGUGUAGCGGUGGAAUGCGCAGAUAUCAGGAGGAACACCGAUGGCGAAGGCAGAUCUCUGGGCCGUAACUGACGCUGAGGAGCGAAAGCAUGGGGAGCGAACA